rnacentral:lncRNA from 1 species
AAAUCUUUUGAUAAGCCUUUGGAUGUUGUUACACAGCUUUUGGGGUAACUGGAAGACGCUCAUUGCGUAAGUAGGAAUCGCUUGAAUCACUGCCUUAAUUAAAACUUCCUUGCCACCACUAGAGAACAGUUUGGACUAGCAACUGUUUAAUUUCCCUAUAACUCUGUGUUUGAUGAGAUUGAAAAAAGCCGUUUUAUUUUGUCCAACCAUGGAAGGAAGUCCCAAAUACCUUUCAUGGAGAGAGACAACCUGAAGGUUGAAAAGAUAUUUGAUUUCAUUAAUAGUGUGUUGAGGCACAUUCGGGCUGAAAAACAUUGAAGAUUUGUCCAUAUUAAAUCAUUGGCCCGAAG